UUUCGGGUAGCAAUAUCUGAAUGAGAGUGGCGCACCCUUUCGUAACGCGUAUGCAAUCUACCUUUAACUGGGGAAUAGCCCUCCGAAAGGAGGAUUAACACCGCAUAAUACUACGAUGGGGCAUCUCAAUGUAGUCAAAACUCAGGUGGUUAAAGAUGAGCAUGCGUCCGAUUAGCUAGUUGGUGAGGUAAUGGCUCACCAAGGCGACGAUCGGUAGGGGGUCUGAGAGGAUGAUCCCCCACACUGGUACUGAGACACGGACCAGACUCCUACGGGAGGCAGCAGUAAGGAAUAUUGGACAAUGGGCGCAAGCCUGAUCCAGCUAUGCCGCGUGAAGGAUGACGGCCCUAUGGGUUGUAAACUUCUUUUAGCAGGGAAAAGACCCCCCGAUGCGUUGGGGGCUGAUGGUACCUGCAGAAUAAGGAUCGGCUAACUCCGUGCCAGCAGCCGCAGUAAUACGGAGGAUCCAAGCGUUAUCCGGAUUUAUUGGGUUUAAAGGGUGCGCAGGCGGAUAAAUAAGUCAGUGGUGAAAGCCUGCAGCUUAACUGUAGAAUUGCCAUUGAUACCGUUUAUCUCGAAUGUAGUUGAGGUGGGCGGAAUAUGACAUGUAGUGGUGAAAUACUU
rnacentral:rRNA from 1 species